CGUAAAAAUAAAUAAAUAAAUAAAUCCUUUUUCCUCAUAAUGCGUCAAAAUUAUUUGGGAAAAUAUAUAGGGAAAACUCUGUUUUGGCCCGCCCAUUUGGGCCUAAUAGCUUUUUCAUAACCCAACUUUCCAUAACCCAAAAUAUGUGUACUGUUGCCCACAAAAAUAUCCCUUUCAUGCACUAUCCACUGUUUUAUAAUUUCAUUUCCAAAAAUACCCCUCCAGCCUUCCAUGUCAGCAGCCAUCUCCCUCUCCAUGUCACCACGGGAAGUUGUGCUUUUAAGCACCCAUGGUUAUCAUACCCAUACGAGCCUAUAUCAUCUUGAACAACCUGAAGAUUUCUUGGUGGAGAGGACUACAUGCUGCAGGUGGCCUCAUAUGCUUGGAUUUGGGUGUCUUGGUGAGAGGGAAAUAACCCUAGUUGAUUCCUGAUUGAAAUGGGUCAGAUCUAGGGGCAACGAUCUUCAAUGGCGGGUUCACCCCUUAACAUGCCUGCACAAAGCAUUUGAAGGUUCAUGAGAGGAUUUGCGCCCUCUCAGGUGUUGAGGUAGUCCACUAGGACCAUGUGUGGUGUUGUGUCAUGGAUGUGAAGACAAGUGUAGGUGCUGGGGAGUAAAUCUUAUGGAUAUCAUCCGCCAGGUACACCCAUACACUAAUCGGAAUGAGAACCAGUUCUUACACUUCAACUUCCAUCAAGACCCAUAUGCACAAUAUGAUUACUGGAUAAACAAGAUAGGAGUUGAUGGACUCUUCACAUAUUUCAAUGGCACCCUCCAUGACUUUCAGGAAUGGACCUCUCCUCUCUCCUCUCUCAAGAUGAUGGUGAUGAUGAUGGCAAUGCUGCUAAAUUGUUGCAUAAGAUUGCAACUUUAGUCUCUCCCUACAAGAAGGGAUGAUAGUGUAAAAUGCAACUUCUCAAGACUGUAGCUUAGGGUAGAAAUCUCUCCAAUAAAAUUAUACAUUUCACACAUUAUGCCGAGCUAGCUGUAUGUUGGUCACUACCCAAGUACUCAAAACUAUCCAAUCUAAUCAAAUGAAGCUUGUUCUUUGAAACUAA